rnacentral:ncRNA from 3 species
CAUUGAGCGUUGAAGAGGAUCAGUACGCAGAACUUUCUGUGACAGAGAGCAAAAUGGCCCGCUGAAACAUUUUGCCGCAUGAAACCUGCCGAACCUGCCUUGGAGUCCUGAGGGGAAAACUCAGGCGCGAUAACCUGGCGUUACAGGAAAGCGGGACGCGUGAAAAACGCGUUCAAACAAGGUGGUACCACGGAAAGCCCAUUUCGUCCUUAUU